rnacentral:rRNA from 1 species
GCAUAUCAAUAAGCGGAGGAAAAGAAACCAACAGGGAUUGCCUCAGUAACGGCGAGUGAAGCGGCAAAAGCUCAAAUUUGAAAUCUGGCCCCGUCAGGGGUCCGAGUUGUAAUUUGGAGAGGAUACUUCGGGUGUGGCCGUGGCUUAAGUCCCUUGGAACAGGGCGUCAUAGAGGGUGAGAAUCCCGUCUUGAGUCACCGGUCCACGCCCAUGCGAAGUUCCUUCGACGAGUCGAGUUGUUUGGGAAUGCAGCUCUAAGUGGGUGGUAAAUUUCAUCUAAAGCUAAAUAUUGGCUGGAGACCGAUAGCGCACAAGUAGAGUGAUCGAAAGGUUAAAAGCACCUUGAAAAGGGAGUUAAAUAGCACGUGAAAUUGUUGAAAGGGAAGCGCUUGCAACCAGACUCGAGCGCAGGGUUCAGCGGGCAUGCGUGCCCGUGUACUCCCUGUGCUCGGGCCAGCAUCAGUUUCGGCGGUUGGUUAAAGGCCUCUGGAAUGUAUCGUCCUCCGGGACGUCUUAUAGCCAGAGGCGCAAUGCGGCCAGCCGGGACUGAGGAACGCGCUUCGGCACGGAUGCUGGCAUAAUGGUUGUAAGCGGCCCGUCUUGAAACACGGACC